rnacentral:rRNA from 1 species
CCUACGGGGGGCUGCAGUGGGGGAUAUUGCACAAUGGGGGGAACCCUGAUGCAGCGACGCCGCGUGAGGGAAGACGGCCUUCGGGUUGUAAACCUCUGUCGCAGGGGACGAAGGAGAUGACGGUACCCUGUGAGGAAGCCACGGCUAACUACGUGCCAGCAGCCGCGGUAAUACGUAGGUGGCGAGCGUUGUCCGGAAUUACUGGGUGUAAAGGGAGCGUAGGCGGUAUGUCAAGUCAAGGGUGAAAUCCCCGCGCUCAACGUGGGAACUGCCUUUGAAACUGGCAAACUGGAGUGUGUGAGAGGAUAGUGGAAUUCCAGGUGUAGGAGUGAAAUCCGUAGAUAGCUGGAGGAACAUCAGUGGCGAAGGCGACUAUCUGGCACAUAACUGACGCUGAGGAGCGAAAGCGUGGGUAGCAAACAGGAUUAGAUACCCUUGUAGUC